GGCCAUUGCUAUCAGGGUUUGACUAAGCCAUGCGAGUCGAGAGGUGUAAGACCUCGGCAUACUGCUCAGUAACACGUGGUUAACCUGCCCUAAGGUGGAGAAUACUCCCGGGAAACUGGGGCUAAUGCUCCAUAGUGGAUAUGUCCUGGAAUGGUAUAUCCUCGAAAGAUCCGUCGCCUUAGGAUGGGACUGCGUCCGAUUAGGUUGUGGCGGGGUAACGGCCCACCAAGCCAUUGAUCGGUACGGGUUGUGGGAGCAAGAUCCCGGAGAUGGAUUCUGAGACAUGAAUCCAGGCCCUACGGGGCGCAGCAGGCGCGCAAACUUUACAAUGCGAGCAAUCGUGAUAAGGAAACCCUGAGUGCCUGUCGAUGCAGGCUGUUCAUAUAUCUAAAUCAUAUGUGAAGAAAGGGCAGGGCAAGACCGGUGCCAGCCGCCGCGGUAAUACCGGCUGCUCGAGUGAUGGCCACUAUUACUGGGUUUAAAGCGUCCGUAGCUUGACUGUUAGGUCUCUUGGGAAAUCUUCACGCUCAACGUGAAGGCGUCUAAGAGAUACCGGCAGUCUUGGAACUGGGAGAGGUAAACCGUACUUCGGGGGUAGGAGUGAAAUCUUGUAAUCCUCGAGGGACGACCUAUGGCGAAGGCAGUUUACCAGAACAGCUUCGACAGUGAGGGACGAAAGCUGGGGGAGCAAACGGGAUUAGAUACCCCGGUAGUCCCAGCCGUAAACAAUGUGCGUUAGGUGUGUCGGUAACCACGUGUUACUGAUGCGCCGAAGAGAAAUCGUGAAACGCACCACCUGGGAAGUACGGUCGCAAGGCUGAAACUUAAAGGAAUUGGCGGGGGAGCACCACAACAGGUGGAGCCUGCGGUUUAAUUGGAUUCAACGCCGG
rnacentral:rRNA from 1 species